AAAACAUAGUAUAUGACCUAGUUACUUUCACUAGCGUCGAGCUAUACUUAUUAUUAAUCCUGGUUAGCCUAAAGAAUGACCUAAAUCACUAAGCAUGCUUAUAUAUAUCAAAAGAUUAAAAUCUACAUAUCAUAGCUUAGUAUGACAAUCAACUGUUAUGUACAUUGAAUACCACCACUGAAGCAUUUCUUGUAUUACUAAUGUACCUAUCUUGCUCUAACCAAAAAAAAAAAAAAGUGCAGCAU